rnacentral:rRNA from 1 species
AGUGAACGCUGGCGGUAGGCCUAACACAUGCAAGUCGAACGGCAGCACAGUAAGAGCUUGCUCUUACGGGUGGCGAGUGGCGGACGGGUGAGGAAUACAUCGGAAUCUACUUUUUCGUGGGGGAUAACGUAGGGAAACUUACGCUAAUACCGCAUACGACCUACGGGUGAAAGCAGGGGAUCUUCGGACCUUGCGCGAUUGAAUGAGCCGAUGUCGGAUUAGCUAGUUGGCGGGGUAAAGGCCCACCAAGGCGACGAUCCGUAGCUGGUCUGAGAGGAUGAUCAGCCACACUGGAACUGAGACACGGUCCAGACUCCUACGGGAGGCAGCAGUGGGGAAUAUUGGACAAUGGGCGCAAGCCUGAUCCAGCCAUACCGCGUGGGUGAAGAAGGCCUUCGGGUUGUAAAGCCCUUUUGUUGGGAAAGAAAAGCAGCAGGUUAAUACCCCGCUGUUCUGGCGGUACACAAAGAAUAAGCACCGGCUAACUUCG